UCCAUCGUUUAUAUUUGCCAUCUUAUUGAUCCACACGCAAAAAGAAAGACAAAACACACUUUCUCUACUACUCAAAUUCACAAAUAUUGUGUUUAUAUUCAACGUUUUAUCUUCCACGCAAACAUAUAUUUUUUCUUACUCAGUCUCUCAUGAUCUUACUCUUUUAUAUGCAGUGUCUGUAUAUUAAGCCUCGCUCUCUCACAUGCAAGGUUUCCCUUCGAAGAACUCAGCCUCAGGUUAUCUCUUUUUCCAAAUAUGAAAAAUCUGAAAUAUACUUACAAAAUGAAAUAUAUAAAGAUUUUUGAGAAUUUGCACUCUACAUACAAGAAAGAUCCAAUAAUUAGCUCUAUACACAUUUUUUUGUUUUCAUAGGAAUUGUAGAUUAAUUUAUGACCAUUAUACCCCUAUUGCUUUCUACUCUUCGAUUUUCAUGAUGCCCACAUAUUCCUUUAGAUUCUUUUUCUGAUAAUCCAAUUCUACAUGAAAUAAAAUGUAUCUGUGUCAGACAAAUUGAUAUAUUAUAUUAUAUUCAUAAAAUUUCCCCGAACCAAGACACCUCUUCUUCUUCUUUAUACGUUACUGUUCAUCACUUAAAUGAUAUAUAUCAGACAUAACUCUAUUUACUAUGUCUUAUUUGUGUUAAUUGUCCAAUCCAAAUAGAUCCAAGCGGCCGUGUAACGCCGCCUCCAUCUUUUCCUUGUAGAUGUCAUCUGGUUUUAUUUUGGUGGUGUUUCUUCUCUUCCUCUUCUGAUUUGUUUACGUUGUGCGACAGAAUUAGGAAAGCUUUGGCUGUUCUAUAGUGGCUCGUUGGUUUAAGGCGGAGGCUCUGCUUGAGGGCGGUGGAGCAGACAACCGAUUCCGCAAGUCAAUCAUCGGGAUCCCUAAAGUUUGUCUCGAUUGUUGAGAGGUGCUCGUUUGACGGCGGAUCUAUCCAUAGAGAUGGCGGUUCUCCCGGUGACGACUGUUCGGACUUGUGAGAAGGUGGAGACCCUUCGCAAUCAACGGCGGAAGAGUUCGAGAGUCGGGUGUUCUUUAUGGCUCUGGUGUUAUGUGGCAGCGGGGCCCCUUUGAGAUGGCUUAGCUUUGAAGGUACACCGGUGAAGGUUCUAUUAGCUGGCACGGACACUCUGCUAUAGUGAUGUCCCGGAUAAAAUGAUAUGCUGGCAGCGGUGUCUGUCGCAGGUGGCGGCUCCGCCUCCUUCGUCUUCUUUCCCACAUCUCCUCUAGUUCGCUUUAGAUUUGUGUGUUUAAUUAGGUGUGUUUCUUCUUUUUUCCAUGUAACCUAGCAAUUUCCGUUUCAUCGGAGCUCCGGUCUAUUUAUGUUCAGAUUUCCCCCUAGGGGCUUGAUAUAUAUUUAAGAGAAAGUGGAGUUUUUUUUUAUUUUUUUGAACUGAUUCUCUGUUACAAGUGGAAUUAACAAAUCAAAACGACCAGGUCCCUUGCUAAACUCUCAUUUUUAACACUCCCGGUAAAAGAUUAAACAUACUGCUAUCAUCCAAGUUUGAUUACUAAAAUGUUUACCCUUAACAAUAACAAACUAUCAGAUUAACACACCGAGUAACCGACCAACGAAGAUGCAAUCCUGCAUCAGACACUUCAUUACACCA
rnacentral:lncRNA from 1 species